AUUGAACGCUGGCGGCAGGCCUAACACAUGCAAGUCGAGCGGAUGAAGGGAGCUUGCUCCUGGAUUCAGCGGCGGACGGGUGAGUAAUGCCUAGGAAUCUGCCUGGUAGUGGGGGAUAACGUCCGGAAACGGGCGCUAAUACCGCAUACGUCCUGAGGGAGAAAGUGGGGGAUCUUCGGACCUCACGCUAUCAGAUGAGCCUAGGUCGGAUUAGCUGGUUGGUGGGGUAAAGGCCUACCAAGGCGACGAUCCGUAACUGGUCUGAGAGGAUGAUCAGUCACACUGGAACUGAGACACGGUCCAGACUCCUACGGGAGGCAGCAGUGGGGAAUAUUGGACAAUGGGCGAAAGCCUGACCCAGCCAUGCCGCGUGUGUGAAGAAGGUCUUCGGAUUGUAAAGCACUUUAAGUUGGGAGGAAGGGCAGUAAGUUAAUACCUUGCUGUUUUGACGUUACCAACAGAAUAAGCACCGGCUAACUUCGUG
rnacentral:rRNA from 1 species